rnacentral:tRNA from 1 species
GUGAUUAUAGUUCAGUUGGUUAGAGCGUCAGAUUGUGGUUCUGAAUGUCGUGGGUUCGAGUCCCACUAAUCACCCCU